UACGUAGGGUGCGAGCGUUGUCCGGAAUUAUUGGGCGUAAAGGGCUCGUAGGCGGUCUGUUGCGUCAGGAGUGAAAAACUCGGGGCUUAACUCCGAGCCUGCUUCUGAUACGGGCAGACUAGAGGUAUGCAGGGGAGAACGGAAUUCCUGGUGUAGCGGUGAAAUGCGCAGAUAUCAGGAGGAACACCGGUGGCGAAGGCGGUUCUCUGGGCAUUACCUGACGCUGAGGAGCGAAAGUGUGGGGAGCGAACAGG
rnacentral:rRNA from 1 species